CGGUUGCGAUUUGCCUUACGAAAAGAUAGUUGUAAAAUGUAUCAUUCUAAAAAUGAAGUGCUUUUCGCCAAUGGGCGAACUAUCUUUUUAAACAGCUGAAUAAGUUGAAUUAUGGGUCCUCAUACUGGUUGACAUAAUUUCAUUUAUUUGCAAACUAAAAACAUGAGAUUUAAGCAAAUGGGAAUAUAUAUUACAUUGGCCUGCCCACUUUGUUUCCGAAAAGCAUUAUUUUUUUAAUUCUCAUGAUGUAUCCAUAAAAAUAAUGUUGAAUUUUGUAAAAUCCUUUGUAAGAAAUGACCACUGCGAUGAGUUUUGGACAAAAGGGUUUCGUGAAUUGUGAUGUGUUCCUGUCAAGAUCACCCAUCAUAUGUAGCCAUGCCAACAGUUAUUAAUAUAAAUAUGCAAAAGUAAAAACUAUUCGAAGACGCUUUUGCAUGCAACUGACGUUACAGUAUAUGUAUAGGAAGAAAAAAUUGUUAAUCGCUUUGCUUUGGUCGAUAUGCUCAAUGAUAUGUGUAGCUUUUUCUGUCAUCGUGAAUUCUUUAUUCAAAGAAUCUCUUACACUGUGAUCAAUCUUAAAUGGUAGUGUAGGGCGAAUGAAUGAAAGAUUAAUGCACAGCAUGUCUGUUUGUGAUACAUCAGUAUAAUAAUCAUUGACUUCAGAGCUUCGUAGGUGUGUUACGUUAUAUCAUUCUGACAUGUGUACCCUGCAAUGGCCAUGUGUUGCCUUGCAUUUGCGGUACGUUUUCUCUUAUUCGGAUUAAACUCUUCAACAAAAAUGUGCACGAAAGAUAGUAACUUUCCUUUCCUUCAUCAUGGUGUGAAACUCCCUGGGAAGGACAUCGUCAAUGUUACGGCGGAGGGCUUGGUUACGUGUGCGCGUACAUGUUUGACUAGUGAUAUGUGCAAGUCUUUCAACUUUGACACCAACAUCGGGCAGUGUGAGCUGAACUAUGCCACGCUCACACCUGAAGGACUGAAUGUCACUCAUCUAAUAGCUGCCGCUGAUUUUGUCUUCACGGACAUCACUCACUGGCCACAGGUAAUACUUUUAAAUACAUGGUUAAUGGUGAAUAUGUUCAAUCAAAUUCAUCAUCGGCUAAAAUCGGCUUAAACCAAAACUUGAGAGACACUAUUGACUGUAGAUUCAAGUUUUACGUGGCUUAACAUGAUCAAAAUUAACAUGGGGCACAUAAAGGUAAAAUACUGCCAGAUGUGUCACUUAAUUUUGAUCGAAUGUAUUUAUUUUGUAGAAACUAGGCGCAUGUGCAAAUCAUCAAUGUGGAUUUUUCAAUGCAUACUGUCAACCUCUGGAUGCCAAUGAAUACGUUUGCAGUCAGUAUGCAGGUAUACCAACAUCCUGUGCAGAAAUUAAGGAAUGUGACCUCUCCAGUACAGAUGCAGAAUACUGGCUUCGCCCCGAACUUUGACCUGUACAGAACCCGGAUCUACCGUCACAACAUGACCACAGACAAUCCAUAAGGGUACCUGACUCUGCCCACUCCCAGCCAUGGAGUGUUUCCAAAUGUCUUUAAUCAGCAUUGUAAUGGGGAACGCCCUCUGGUAGGAAAAUGUGUUGGCAAAUCAGGAGAAGCAUGGCACUACAACAUCAGAGUCUUAUCGAGGUUUGUGUUUUUUUCUGGUUUCGUUUUCUUUUCCUUUUUAUUAUCCCGUCUGGCCAAUGUCUUAUGCAUGUCGUAAGGGACGGGAAAGGAUGUUUUUUAGGUAUAGCGCAUUUUGGUAAUAAAACAAAAAAUUACCAAAUAGCGUUACCUAUGCUCGACAUCACACUUAACGAUAGGUUGAGUUUCACAUAGUUAAAUACAAACACCGUUUUGCAAAUAACAUAGUCUAAGACAACGCAAUGUAUUCAUGUUGAAUGUGGAAUUGAAACGGCUGUGUGUACAGAAAUGACCAAUUUCGAAAAAGUCUGUAAUUCUUCCAUUCUCUUCACCAUCAGAGGACGAUGCAUACAUUACUGAAUAUGCCACACAAAUGUGAUAUUCUGAGUAUAAAUUGAUACCGUUGAGGAUUUCAGUCAUGUUGGCGACCAUCUUAGAUUUUCUACAACAAUGGGCAAUCGGAUAUAUCAAUACUCAAAGACACCAACAAGCGAAUGUCGUUACUACAAGGAAAGACAAAUGUUUCAAGGUUUGGUAAUAAUAAUUAGUCCAAAUUCCAAAUGAGCCACAGCACACGAGGGAGUUCACAAGCAAGUUCACACGGUCAGUAGCAGGUGUGUCCACUUUGUGCAUUGAUGCAGGCCUGGCACCUGCGUCUUAUUGAGGCCACUAAAGGUCAGUUGAAGCCCUGGGGGAGGAUUCGGAUGACGUCGUAAACAUCGCCCAAUUUCAUCCUAAGCGUGUUUAUGGGUAACAGAUCAGGGGAUCUUGCGAGCCAGGGUAACACAUUAACAUUGUUCUGAUUGAGAUACUGUUGUACAGUUGGAACUGUUCUACCGUCAGCUCGGUAAAGAAGGAAAAAAACGUGACUGGUCGAUGUUACAAACUCUUCUCCACCCAUAUCGCCCCUCCGCAUGUGUUGUCUGCUCCACUAGAGAAGUCGAUGUUCUGUUGCUAGCGACUUUGAAUACAGUACAAUUGUGCUACUGACAGCUCCAUUUAGGUCGUCAGUUUAUGAACAAUAGUUCGUCCUCUUCACGCGUGAUGUUAUGACCCAAUGUGUGACACAGCUGGUGUUCAUUAAGUGAUAUCUCGAACUGACGAAUAAUACAGGUUGAUAUCAAACAUUUAAAUAUCAUAGUUAUUUCAUUCUAAAAUAGAACCUGGAAAUCAGAUUUAUAUGCAUGUACAAAAAUUCCCCCCAAAAUAUUUGAGUAGACGAGGCCCACCUCAAUGUUUAUGCUUUAAUCAUGUGUUCACUUAAUGCCCUUUUACUCUAUUGGAGAUGCUAUUUCAGAUGUCACAGAAUCGUCAGCAAAAGAAGGGACGUGUUUCCUGUGAUCAACAAACAUGUACCAGUGACAUGGAAAUGUAUUAAUGAUGGCAGACGGUCUUUGUAUUGAGUGAUCACAAGUCGCACAGUAGUUCUCACCAUUUAACUAAUUUCACAAUGUACAUCAAGUACUUGUCUGUGUGAUUUGGUUUGGCAGACAAAGUGGUUACACAAUUAACAAUGUGUGAACUGUGAAGUAAGGUAACGGCUAAAAUUAUAUCCUUCAUACGCCCAUACAAUCACACCACAAAAGCAUUUUACAUUAGGUGUGGUCGUCAGAGGAAGGAACUUAGGUGGGAUGAGAACGGUGAGUACAUUCUGAGAAAUGGACUUGUUUUAUCACGCUUGAUUCCAAGGCAUCAUUUCCCGUGAAGCAAACAAGGCCCAUUUUGUUGAUCGAUAUGCAAGUUUGAAAAAAACUUUAAACCAAUGACUGAAACAUUCAAAGCAGAGACACCCUGGUGCGCAUAUCAAGCUACAACUAGCGAAGGGUGUGUUGUUUCACAAAGACCCUUUGAUACCGUUGACAGAACCAGUUCAUGGUUUAAAAUGAUAAAGUCAAUUCUUACUAGUAAAUGUUUUAACGUUAUCUAUAAUAUGUAAUAAAGAUAAAAUGUUUACAUCUCUGGCGUCUUACCCGGCAACAUAGGGGUUAGACAAGGUAAAAGUUUAUCUCCUUUUUUUAUUUGCUUUAUCAAUAUAUAUAAAUAUAUACACGAUCUUGAAGAUUUCAUAUUGGAGAAAAAUAGAACUUGUUUAAAUGUUUUAAAAGAUGAAUUUUAAUAUAUUCUUCAUUUAAAGCAAUCAACACCUGAUUAUAUGGUGUAUUGGUAACUUAGGCGGUACGCACUUGAAACUUAAGUGAAAGGUAGAAUGAUUGUAUGCCUGUGUAAAACCAUAUUGUCCCAUGAAAAGCUGUCUGGUAAACUGUAUUUUGUCACCCUAUGUCCUGUAUAAUUAUCCUCCGUUGAUGACGGAUGAUGUAUGAAAUGAGUGUCAAUUGGGUUUGGGAUUCACAGUUGUUCCCUAGCAUUUUACGUUGGACCUUCGGAAAUGGAGUGAAACGGCAAAGGAAUCACCCAACAGGCUACAUAUUACUAACAAAGGUAAAUAUUAUACAAUGUUUAAGAACAAUCCCUGUAUUUACGAAUAUUUGUUACAGUUGCUAUAUAAUUUACCGAUGGAUUGUAAACCUAAGGAUAUCAAGCCACAUAGAUUACCAACAGAAAAUCGUAGGUGGCGAAAUAUUGAAACAUCACGAAGAAAUUGUACUUUAUGCAAUACUUGUAUUUUAGAUGAAUGUAAUUUUCUACUUCACUGACCAUCUUUAAAAACGCUAAGAGUAAUAUAUCUUCCUAACUGUUCCCUAAUGGAUUGUUCUUAUGUGCCCUUACUGACUAGAAUUGCCAGAUGUAUAGAAACUGGCCUAGUAAUAAAUGUUGCAUUAGAAACAUUACGAUUCCAUGUUAACUUUAGCAAAUUCAUAUAUGUAUGCUCCAUAUCACUGUAAGUGAUCUUCGAGAAUAAAACAACUGUUCUGUUCUUUUCUGUUCUGUACCAGGAGCAUUCAAUUGUGCACACUUCCGUUGUCGCCAGGUCGGUGGCUUUGAACAUAUUUAACAUUCCCACCUAAUUCAUCAGCUUAAUUAUUAAUCAGACAAUAAUUAAUCUUAUGACAAUUGCAGAAAUAACUAUCUGGAAAACUUAAUGCAAUCGAUAAUCAUUUUCACUGCAGACGAUUUAUACUACCAAGAGGAAGCUUUCUACACCGGUGGGAUCUAGUUUUUUCUAUCAGCGUCAGCAGAAAUGUGUAGACGUCAGAUGGGAAUAUGUUGAUAAUAGAAAAAAAAUCAACUCUAUAAAGGCAUUUCAUUACACUUAGGUCCCGAACUGUUUAGAACCCUUUGUACCCGGAGAAUUAAUUCUACGAAGGUUCCGGUACACUCUAUAGAACCCAUAAUAUUAUCAAAUGAUAAACUCAAAGCAAAACUCUUUGAACCCCGAAAUGAAAUGAAAUGGAAAAUAAAGUAGUGUUCAGAAAGGUACAUCGUAUUAAUGAGUGCUACCUUGUUGGUUUUGUUGUAUUGUCUUCGUAA